UUGCACCUUACUCGGCUGCCUCACCCCCACCCCCUUUCCUCUUCUUCACUCUGCUCACUCGAGCAUACAGACCCGUCAAUCACCUGAGCCUUGCACAAAUUCGUGCAAGGUCAUGAACCCAUCAAGAAAUCAUCUCAUCCGUUUUUCCUUAUUUGCGAUUCUCGCUUAAUAUUCCCUUUCCAAUCACAAAUUCAAAUCGCCUAAAUUCUGAAAACCUAACCUCAGAGAUGAAACUUCAAAUCGUCAUUGAUUUUUCAAAUCCAUGGCAUGUAUUGUUAUUCUUUUUGUUCCUGCACUCCCAGUCCCGUCGUUCUUUCCAUUUUCACCUUUCAAUUUCAAAACACUAGUCGAAGAAAUCAAAGACCAAAGGUGAAACUUCAAACUCGUUUGUUCCUUCCUUUGUUCUUUCAAAUCAAAGCGAGCAGGAAGUAUUAGCUGGCUUCAUCAUCAAUAUUCGACACUUAGAGGUCAAAUGCAAUGACCUCUGGGUAUUAGGUUUUUGACUGAUGGUUUCCUGUGCCUCAACGUUCAAUAAUUCACUCCACUCCAGUACACAGGUAAAAUCAUUACUGGAUUCCCCCUCUGUCUUCCGAAUUUUAACUCGAUUAGCUAUCAUCAUCUACCAUGCGUCACUCUCCACUACUGAUUUUGAAUUCGUAAAACCCUUGAGCAUUGAAUGUUACUAUAAAAGGGGGUCUUUAAUGUUCUUACCAAUACACAAUCUAACACCAACAAACCAGAGCAACCUAAAUUCUGAAAAGUCAUAAACACUAAGAAAUUAGGGUUUUUGGUAAUUAGGUCUCUUACUAUUUUUCCUCUCUUUGCCGAGUUCCUUGCUGGUUCAAGCUUGAAGGUUUUCUAGGAUCUUUGAGCAACAAAGGGAAUUCGUUUGGUCUGCUGCCCUCA
rnacentral:lncRNA from 1 species